CGCUGAUCCGGUUACAGACCUAAACGGGCCACACGCAGAACAGAACCAGCUGCACCGUUCAGCGACUUCUGGAUCCUCAGAACCGGGCGGCCGGGUCGGCGCUGCGGGUCCAUGCGGUCCGGUUCGGUCCGGGUCAGGAACUGUUCGGGUCGCUGCAGGCGUUCGUGGAGGAGCGAAGACUCAGAGCGCCCUUCAUCAUCACCUGUGUGGGCAGCGUUACCAGGGCAACGCUAAGGCUGGCAAACGCCACGGCAACAGAUACUAACGAGGUUCUGCAGCUCAGCGGUCGCUAUGAGAUCGUCUCUCUGGUCGGGACGCUUAACAGUGAUGCCCACCUCCACAUCAGCCUGGCAGACGCCCAGGGCGCCACAGUGGGCGGCCAUGUUCUGGGCGACCUGGAGGUCUUCACCACAGCUGAGGUCGUCGUGGGCGACGCCGUCGACCUGCAGUUCAGCAGGGAGCCCGACCCGAGGACGGGCUUCCCCGAGCUGGUGGUUCUGACCCGACCAGAGGUGGAGAGAGCAGCCUGAAGAGGGUUCUGGACCUGGACCUGGACCCGAUCCCAGUCCCAGUCCCAGUUCCGGUCCAGGACCCGGUUCUGUCUGAUAAAAACGUCCCUGAUUAAAUCACUGUCAGCUUUCUGUAGCCGACCCAGAACCUGUAGCCAGCACAUCAGAACCAAAUCAGAACCAAUCGUUUGUAAACUGCGUUUCUGUGAAAUGAUUGACCUUUGACCCCAGCCUCUCUGUUCCUGCUGAGCUGUGAGCGGUUGCUAUGGAAACUGAUGAAAUAAAAGCCUGUUGGUUUGUUUUGAA